UCCCGGCUAGCUCAGUCGGUAGAGCGUCAGACUCUUACUGUACAAGGGUUUCCGAGUUUGUCUCGGAGUUCAUCUGAAUGUCGUGGGUUCGAGCCCCACGUUGGGAG
rnacentral:tRNA from 1 species